UUUUCAAUCCCUAAUAUACAUUUUAAAAAACUACAGUCAAACUCUGUAACAGAACAAAUUACCAUUUUUAAAGAUAAAGAGUCUUUAUUUGAACAUAAUUUAAAGUUUUGAUCAGUUUGUUUUUACUGUUAACAUGUAAAAUAUUCCUCUUUUUCUAUGAUUUCAAUUGAUAUUAACUGUAAUUUAAUGAAACAGAGACAUCUUGUAAAUCAAUAAAAUAAUAAAAAUAAAAAACACACAGUCGUUGGAAAAACUUAGUUAGAAAAUGUUAAAAACCAUCACAUUUUUGCAGUGUAUCUGACAUUUCACAGAAGGACAAAAUAAAAAAAGAGAUUAAUAUUAUGUUUUUCUUGUGACACAGCUUCCAAGAGCAUAUUGUCUUUUGUAAUUUUUAGGAAGAUUGUGAUUAAAAAAAAAAAAAAAAAAAACUUUUCUGACUCAGCGAUGUAUUAAUUAGACAUUAAAACCUCCAACAGGUGAAAUUAAUAACAUUAAUGAUCUCGUUACAGCGACACCUGUGAAGAGAUCUGAGGCUGCAGGUGAGCAGACAGUUUUUUAAGAUGAAGUGUUAAAAGCAGGGAAAAUGUGCAGCAGAAGCAUGUGAGAGACUUUGAUAAGGACUUUUUUUUUUUAAUGAUUUAAAGGAUCUUUUGGGAGUAUUGUGAGGCUUGAACCCACAAGAAUCCAGAUGUCAACAGAUCAGAGUGUUUUGAAGACACGAUCUGAAGCAGAUGAAGGAUUCGUCUCUUUCAUCCCCACAAGGGUUUUGAAUGUCUCCAGAGUCACAGGUUCCUCUCUAUCUCCCCACACAUCCACCAACCACUGGAACACAUCUCCAAAGUUCUGCCGGGCCAGCUCAGCUUCCCCUCAGAAGAAGUGCUGCCACCUGCCAGAUGAAGGAGCCUUUUGAGAGGCAGCUGGCAUCGUGAUUGGACUGUACUUUGGUCUGUUCCAAUCCAGCUUCAGCUCCAGAGACGGCAGGCGGGACGAGUCAACGGAGGCCUGGUGGACGAAGGCAUGCAGCUGAGUACAAUCCAGAAAACAACAGAGGAGGAGUGCAGUGGCCCAGAGCCAGAACAAACAGAGUAGCAUCGUAUGUCUCUUAGAAAACAUCAUAGUAUAGCCUUUGGGAUGAAAAAACGCCAUCAUAUACAUUGUAUAUUGUACAAAUAAGUCAAAGGAAAGAGACAUACAUUGUAGAAUUGUAGUAAUUGUGGGCUGACUGAUUUACCGAUUAUCAGUAUUUUAUUUUUUACUGAUUUACUGUAAUAAAUACAUUUUAAAAUGGCGAUA